rnacentral:lncRNA from 1 species
GUGCAGAGGGAAUCUUGUUUACAGCACCUGUGCUGUUUUAAAGGCAGCUAGCAGGAUACAGGUGUUGAGGAUAGUGGCUGGCCCCAGCUGGUCUGCAGAGACACUGGGAUUUAGAACGCUCCCAAGAAAAGGAAGGGACUUUCUACAGAUGGGAACUUGCCCGAGGGAAGAUUUUUCCAGAUCUGAGCAACAGAUUGGUAGGAAACAAAUUAUGGCAGCAAUCCACUCGUGGUAGUUGCACAUAAAUUGCAUUUUGAAAGUGAGGAUAGAAGAAAGUGGGAAAUGAUUAAGAUUCUGUACUUUGGAAUCAGCCAGCCAGCAAGUCCUGGAUCUGCCACUCAAUCGCUUGGUGCUUUUAGAGGACCAGUUACAAAUCAGUGGAGAUGGGCCCUGGUACAUGGAACAAAUCUAUGCAGGAAUAAAGAAGUGUUUGUACAGUCUCAAAGGAAAGAAUCAGUGUGA